CGGGGUGUAGCGCAGUCUGGCAGCGCACUUGGUUUGGGACCAAGUAGUCGGAGGUUCAAAUCCUCUCACCCCGA
rnacentral:tRNA from 1 species